rnacentral:piRNA from 1 species
UCGGAAAUGAAAAGGAGAAGUAGGUUCUGC